CACACAGUUACAGGCAAAGCUGCUGAGUUUUUAAACCCAAAUCUUGUCUCCGCCUCGGCCUUUAGCGAACAAGCCGGCUUAACUUCUGAAAGGCACGCAGGUGCCCACGCAUGGGCACGGGGACACGUGGGGCCUGGGUGAGGACCACGGGCUCAGCCCAGCGCCCGGCGAUGCUCCUGGGCCUGUCCGUGGCGGGGGAUGGGGGUUCCCCGGGGGGUUUCCAGUCUCUGAAGAGCCACUGGGUAAUUAUCCCCGUGAGCAAAUCCGUCAAACAACCUCUGCGUUCUAGUUUCUUCACCUGGGAAAUGCCGAGACGGUAACAUCUUCCCCACUGGGUUUUACAAGACGUCCUCGGCCAACAGUUACCAACUAGCUUCAGUUGCUUCGAGCGAAGUUGGUCUUUACGCAAAUAACUGAGCAAGAUGCAAAUCACUGGGAUUUCGGAGCAAAGGCCUCAGACUGACAACCUGCAGGUGCGAGAAACGUUAUGCCAAUGGAAUCCUGCAGAGUGGAAGCUUCUGAGGUGGGCUUUGUUUUUCACGCCGCAGAAUUCCGUUGCCCUCCAUCCGGGUCAUUGUUCCUGCUGAGUGGUAUUCCAGCCGCUCUUGCUUUAACUACGGCGCGGGUUGGUCUUGUGUGAGAAAUUUCAUUGGAACAAAGAUUUCCUCUGCUUCAAGAGAACGAUUUGGCAACUGCUCACAAAGAUAAGGAUUAGACUGGAAGGUUCGAAGAUCCCAGUGGUGCCGUAGAUACAUGGAAACUGGACGUCGAAAUUUCUGAUUCAUGUGGCUGCUCUCAUUUAGCAGUGACGCAACUCUCCAGAUUCCCAGGAUCAUAAUUUUACCCAAUCUCUGGAGAGAAAUGAGAGAGAGAGAGAGAGUGAAUUUAUUCCCCAGGAAGAACUCAGGAGGGACUGUACCAGUCUGCAGCCCCACCAACUGUACCCGAGGAGUCCUUUCUCUUCACAUCCUCGCCAACGCUCGUGGCGAAACCAGGAAGCUUUAACCACCACACACUCCAGAGCCAGGGGGCUCCGC